GACGGAGGAUGCAAGCGUUAUCCGGAAUGAUUGGGCGUAAAGCGUCCGCAGGUGGCAGUUCAAGUCUGCUGUCAAAGACCGGGGCUUAACUUCGGAAAGGCAGUGGAAACUGAACAGCUAGAGUAUGGUAGGGGCAGAGGGAAUUCCUGGUGUAGCGGUGAAAUGCGUAGAGAUCAGGAAGAACAUCGGUGGCGAAGGCGGCGAUCUGGACGAUGACUGACGCUGAGACGCGAAAGCGUGGGGAGCAAACAGG
rnacentral:rRNA from 1 species